AUAUUCUGCAAUCUUAACAAAGCAUACGACUCUCUCGCCUUUUACUAGAGCGCCCUGUGUGGAGAUUGUGUUGAAAGCUUGAAUUUAUUGGGGUGAUUCGUCGCCUA